AAGUAGUCUUAAAAACAUGAACUCUUCCUCCUUUUGAAGAAACGAACACCACCAAAACACCAGGACUGCCCACAAAAUCAAAACACUCUUACCUCAGCGGUGCCUAGAAGGCAAUCCAGUAAAGCCCUUCACCCAAUUUACCUCAAUGUGUCAGACAUUGAACUUACUUCAUGUGUCCGGAAAACAGUUGUGAACGCAUUUAUCUCCAUCCAUCGAAAAAGCAACUCUUCACUUCUUCGGUAAUUAAUAAACGGGACGUGCAUUACCUGCAACCAAAAUGCUGAAAUAGGAGCAUUGUAAGUCUUGAGCUCAUUCCAAAUAUGGCGUACAGAUUCUGUGCCACCCUGCAUGCCAACAACAGCUCCAGAAAUAAUCCAGUCAGGAAGUUUAGGAGGUCUCCCAAUGGUCUCAGUGAAACACUCAAUGAGCUCAGAUGGUGAAGUUCCAUGCAAUAUCCGCCCUUCAACUGAAUUUCCAUGUAUCUGCAAG